rnacentral:rRNA from 1 species
GACGAACGCUGGCGGCGUGCUUAACACAUGCAAGUCGAACGGAAAGGCCCUGUUCUUGUGGGGUGCUCGAGUGGCGAAAGCGUGAGUAUCACGUGAGUAACCUGCCCUUGACUUUGGGAUAACUUCAGUAAACUGGGGCUAAUACCGGAUAUGAGCUCCUGCUGCAUGGUGUUGAUUGGUAAGUUUCGGCGGUUGGGGAAGGACUCGCGGCUUAGCAGCUUGUUGGUGGGGUGGUGGCUUACCAAGGCUUUGACGGGUAGCCGGCCUGCGAGGGUGACCGGCCACAUUGGGAUUGGGGUACGGGCAGGACUCAUACUGGAGGCAGCAGUGGGAGACAUUGCACAAUGGGCGGAAGCCGUAUGCAGCAACGCCGCGUGGUAGAUGACUGUCUGCGGGGUGUAAACCGCGUUAGCCUGGGACGAAGCGCGAGUGACGGUAAUGGGUAAAGAAGCAACGGCUAACUACGUG